GUGCUUGCUUGAGCAGCACAUACACUAAAAUGGGAACAAUGCAGAGAUUAGCGUGACCCCUGUAUAAGGACGACACGCAGACUUGUGAAGCGUCCGUGUUCCUG